rnacentral:rRNA from 1 species
UACGGGGGGAGCAAGCGUUGUUCGGAUUUACUGGGCGUAAAGCGUGCGAAGGCGGUUUUGUAAGUCUGUUGUGAAAUCCCCGGGCUUAACCUGGGAAUGGCAAUGGAGACUGCAAGGCUAGAGUUUGGCAGAGGGGGGUAGAAUUCCACGUGUAGCAGUGAAAUGCGUAGAGAUGUGGAGGAACACCGAUGGCGAAGGCAGCCCCCUGGGUCAAAACUGACGCUCAUGCACGAAAGCGUGGGGAGCAAACAGG